rnacentral:pre_miRNA from 1 species
UUCACAUGGGGAUCAUGUUAAAAUGCAGAUUUUAAUUCAGUAGAUCAAGCUUGGGGUCCAGGAUUCUGCAUUUUUAACAAGCUAUCAGGUGAUAUUUA